rnacentral:misc_RNA from 1 species
GCAAAAUUUAAACUCUCUCUCUGUGUCUUUUAUUCACGGAUUUCGCUGAGAAGGAGGGAGUGCUCGUGGUCUAUUCGUGCUGGAGCGCUAAUAAUAACCAGGGCGUGCUCGCAGGCGGGAGCCCUGAACCACUUCCAUUUGUCACGAGCUGUUAACAAAUUGCAACAAAAAAGCGGUGAAUGCGAAAAUCCAACGUUUUCCGGGUUUGACGAGUGCCAACUUUACGCUUAAGCUAUCGAAUUGCUGUGUCACAGAUUGACUUGGAGGCUAAAUAUUCAUACAACCACGGCAAUAGAUAUGAUGUAACGCCUCGCUGACAAGAAAAAAACACGUUUGAAUCAAAGUACUAUCUUGGGAUGAGUCAUCGCAUCAACUAAUGUUCACUUCGAAGGGAUACAACUCUUCAAGAAAAGUCUAUCUUUGUUAUGGGUUAUCGAAUCUGGUUUUGUUUCAUUGCUGUGCUCGUGACUCUUGACUCACUGAAGGGGUCACCAAUUGGGACUAAUCAUUCUGAGUUGGAUCCACCAGAUGUCAUUGUUAAGGGUAGCUUCGUGUACAAUGCUUUGAACCUAUUCCCAAAGAACACACAACAGGAGCUGAAAUCUUUGGAGCAGCGACUGAGUGCCCUAGAAAAACCAAAAGUCAAAGCCUGCAAGUUU